rnacentral:ncRNA from 1 species
GAAAGCCGCAUGAUGGGAAACUAUCACGUACGGUUAGGGUGGCAGCAAAUAUCGUAUAAUAUACAAUAUUGAUUGUAUAAGCUGACUACAC